rnacentral:lncRNA from 1 species
GGGUAAUUGGGCUGUAAGAAGUCCACACAAGUCACCUUCCAUGCGGUCCUCAAUAAUGUGGGAGGAGCAAGAACUCAUCUGUAUAUUUGUAGUGUACUUGGCUAACUUGGAUCUUGUAAACAGAACAGUACGUGGGCUGCAGCUGACAUUUCCCGAGUCCACAAGAAAACAAGUACACAUAAUGACCUAUGAAUCAUACUUUUUGGGUUAGGGUCAGUCUGGGGGUUUUCCUGAUUCUCUGUUUUGCAGAGAAUGCAGGCAGUGGGGGUACAGAGCCAUAAAGAGAGAGAGAGAGAGUCAUGUCAACUCUGUUUAUAGGACUUAUUUCUAUGAAGAAAUAUUGUAAAAAGCGCUAUACAAAUAAAUUUGAUCUGAAAACUUAAAUCUGAAAAUGUAAAUAAUGCUCAAUCAUUUUUACUAACCUCCUAUUUUAGUUUUCUUUAUUGUUUAUUUUUUAUAUUAUCCAUUCUAUUUUUAUUCUAUAUAAAUAAAAUAAACCUUUGGUUUUGCACGUCUUGUGGAGGAUGUUAAAGGGUAAAAAUUUAAUGUUUUGGUGAUAUCUUAAUUUUUACAUUGCAGUCAAUCAGCAAAAGUUGCUCUUGGCUUUGUUUUCAUGGAGGGAAUUCAUUGGCGGUAAGUGUGGCUGUCCAGAAUAUGUUCCUCCUGAACUGCAUUCUUUUAGAUGACUCAUACGUUUCACUGUUGUACAGUAAGAAAACAUAUGUUGGGUAUCUGCUUUCACAGUUUUGCGGUUCCUCCUAGAAACAGUAUUAUUUAAUCUGAGACCAAUGCUCUCUAUUCGUCAUAAGGGGGUGGGCGUGUUUUAUAUUCGAACAUUUUGAUGUGUCCCUGUUUGGCAUCGUUUUCCACAUUCUGUAUACUCUCUGAGCGCGAGGAUGCCCCGGAGCUGCCUUUAUCACGUGUUGUGGAUUUUUCCGAGCCUGUGGGCCACAGUUUUUCUACAUGAUGGACUAAAAAGUUUGUCACAGUGUGCUGGGCUGUUAAUGGAUGAGGAUAAGUACACAUGCUGUGGAGGGACCAUACACCAGGGAGCUCAUCUGUCCUGCUGUGGAAACUCUGCCUACAACAUCCUGAAGAGUUCCUGCUGCCUGAAUGAGUUAACGCUUGGCUUGAGCCAGUCUGUGUCCCGAUGUUGCGGAUCACAGGCCUACAACCCUCUGAAUCAGAUUUGCUGUGGGGGACGUGUCCAAAUCAGACACAGUGCUCAGACCAAAUGCUGUGGUUCAGGUAAGCGUAAACGCCUGUUCAUUUCAGAGGAAAUAUAUUUGGACAGUGAUAAAAUCUUUGGGC